rnacentral:rRNA from 1 species
GACGAACGCUGGCGGCGUGCUUAACACAUGCAAGUCGAACGCUGAAGCACCAGCUUGCUGGUGUGGAUGAGUGGCGAACGGGUGAGUAAUACGUGAGUAACCUGCCCUUGACUCUGGGAUAAGCCCGGGAAACUGGGUCUAAUACUGGAUGCUACAUGUCACCGCAUGGUGGUGUGUGGAAAGGGUUUACUGGUCUUGGAUGGGCUCACGGCCUAUCAGCUUGUUGGUGAGGUAAUGGCUCACCAAGGCGACGACGGGUAGCCGGCCUGGGAGGGUGACCGGCCACACUGGGACUGAGACACGGCCCAGACUCCUACGGGAGGCAGCAGUGGGGAAGAUUGCACAAUGGGCGAAAGCCUGAUGCAGCGACGCCGCGUGAGGGAUGACGGCCUUCGGGUUGUAAACCUCUUUCAGCAGGGAAGAAGCCACAAGUGACGGUACCUGCAGAAGAAGCGCCGGCUAACUACGUG